rnacentral:rRNA from 1 species
AGUGAACGCUGGCGGUAUGCCUAACACAUGCAAGUCGAACGGCAGCACAGUAAGAGCUUGCUCUUACGGGUGGCGAGUGGCGGACGGGUGAGGAAUACAUCGGAAUCUACUUUUUCGUGGGGGAUAACGUAGGGAAACUUACGCUAAUACCGCAUACGACCUACGGGUGAAAGCAGGGGAUCUUCGGACCUUGCGCGAUUGAAUGAGCCGAUGUCGGAUUAGCUAGUUGGCGGGGUAACGGCCCACCAAGGCGACGAUCCGUAGCUGGUCUGAGAGGAUGAUCAGCCACACUGGAACGGAGACGCGGUCCAGACUCCUACGGGAGGCAGCAGUGGGGAAUAUUGGACAAUGGGCGCAAGCCUGAUCCAGCCAUACCGAGUGGGUGAAGAAGGCCUUCGGGUUGUAAAGCCCUUUUGUGGGGAAAGAAAAGCAGCAGGUUAAUACCCCGCUGUUCUGACGGUACCCAAAGAAUAAGCACCGGCUAACUUCGUG